UACGAAGGGGGCUAGCGUUGUUCGGAAUUACUGGGCGUAAAGCGUUUGUAGGCGGUCAUUCAAGCUAGUGGUGAAAUCCCAGGGCUCAACCCUGGAAUUGCCAUUAGAACUGUUUGGCUAGAGAAUGUUAGAGGAAAGUGGAAUUCCUAGUGUAGGAGUGAAAUCCGUAGAGAUUAGGAGGAAUAUCGAUGGCGAAGGCAGCUUUCUGGGACAUUUCUGACGCUGAGAAACGAAAGCGUGGGUAGCAAACAGG
rnacentral:rRNA from 1 species